rnacentral:rRNA from 1 species
UCGGCUCAGGACGAACGGCGGCGGCGUGCCUAAUACAUGCAAGUAGAACGCUGAAGAGAGGAGCUUGCUCUUCUUGGAUGAGUUGCGAACGGGUGAGUAACGCGUAGGUAACCUGCCUUGUAGCGGGGGAUAACUAUUGGAAACGAUAGCUAAUACCGCAUAACAAUGGAUGACACAUGUCAUUUAUUUGAAAGGGGCAAUUGCUCCACUACAAGAUGGACCUGCGUUGUAUUAGCUAGUAGGUGAGGUAAUGGCUCACCUAGGCGACGAUACAUAGCCGACCUGAGAGGGUGAUCGGCCACACUGGGACUGAGACACGGCCCAGACUCCUACGGGAGGCAGCAGUAGGGAAUCUUCGGCAAUGGGGGCAACCCUGACCGAGCAACGCCGCGUGAGUGAAGAAGGUUUUCGGAUCGUAAAGCUCUGUUGUAAGUCAAGAACGGGUGUGAGAGUGGAAAGUUCACACUGUGACGGUAGCUUACCAGAAAGGGACGGCUAACUACGUGCCAGCAGCCGCGGUAAUACGUAGGUCCCGAGCGUUGUCCGGAUUUAUUGGGCGUAAAGCGAGCGCAGGCGGUUUGAUAAGUCUGAAGUUAAAGGCUGUGGCUCAACCAUAGUUCGCUUUGGAAACUUCAAACUGAGUCAGAG